AAUCAAAACGAACGCCUCUUCGUUCAUGCGGCGCGAUCACUGCUUCAUUGCCAGUGUUCCCGUCUCUUGUCGCUGGUUUGGGCUGCUGCCGCUCGAUUGCGGGACGGCCACAGCACCGGUGAAUGUUGGAGGAGUCGGCGAUGCGCUGCCAGCUGGCGGUGGUCAAUCACAGCCGUGGAUUGCCCCGCUGCGCUUGUUGGCUGAGCGACGCAUCACGUGGUGGCUCUCGCUAU
rnacentral:misc_RNA from 1 species